rnacentral:rRNA from 1 species
UACGGUGGGGGCUAGCGUUGUUCGGAAUUACUGGGCGUAAAGCGCACGUAGGCGGCUUUGUAAGUUAGAGGUGAAAGCCCAGGGCUCAACCCUGGAAUUGCCUUUAAGACUGCAUCGCUUGAACAUCGGAGAGGUAAGUGGAAUUCCGAGUGUAGAGGUGAAAUUCGUAGAUAUUCGGAAGAACACCAGUGGCGAAGGCGACUUACUGGACGAUUGUUGACGCUGAGGUGCGAAAGCGUGGGGAGCAAACAGG